rnacentral:rRNA from 1 species
AUUGAACGCGUGGCGGCGUGCCUAACACAUGCAAGUCGAGCGGUAACAGGUGUAGCAAUACAUGCUGACGAGCGGCGGACGGGUGAGCAAUAUUUGGGAAUCUGCCUAUUAGUGGGGGAUAACCCGGGGAAACUCGGGCUAAUACCGCAUACGCUCUACGGAGGAAAGCCGGGGACCGCAAGGCCUGGCGCUAGUAGAUGAGCCCAAAUCGGAUUAGCUAGUUGGUGAGGUAACGGCUCACCAAGGCGACGAUCCGUAGCUGGUUUGAGAGAACGACCAGCCACACCGGAACUGAGACACGGUCCGGACUCCUACGGGAGGCAGCAGUGGGGAAUAUUGGACAAUGGGCGAAAGCCUGAUCCAGCGACGCCGCGUGGGUGAAGAAGGCCUGCGGGUU